AUUGAACGCUAGCGGCAUGCUUAACACAUGCAAGUCGAGCGGCAGCGCGGGGAAACCUGGCGGCGAGCGGCGGACGGGUGAGUAAUACGUAGGAAUCUGCCUUGUCAUGGGGGACAACCCGGGGAAACUCGGGCUAAUACCGCAUAAUCUCCAAGGAGUAAAGAAGGGGACCUUCGGGCCUUACGUUCUAAGCUGAGCCUGCGUCGGAUUAGCGAGCUGGUGGGGUAAAGGCCUACCAAGGCGACGAUCCGUAGCUGGUCUGAGAGGACGAUCAGCCACACUGGGACUGAGACACGGCCCAGACUCCUACGGGAGGCAGCAGUGGGGAAUAUUGGACAAUGGGGGAAACCCUGAUCCAGCAAUGCCGCGUGUGUGAAGAAGGCCUUCGGGUUGUAAAGCACUUUCAGUGGGGAAGAACUAAUUCAAGGUUAAUAACCUUGAGUCUUGACAUUACCUACAGAAGAAGCACCGGCAAACUCUGUGCCAGCCGCCGCGGUAA
rnacentral:rRNA from 1 species